ACAAAACAAAGGAAAGGCCCAACCAAAAAAGCCUCCAACCUCUCCACGAACAGAUUCGAAACAUAAACACCCCGCAGUCACCUCCGUCGGCUCUCGGCUGGCCUGGUUCCCAACCCCAACCACCAGGCACCAGCAGCAGCCUCGGCAGGAUGGCUAGCCCGCAGUGCUGCGCGGACCCGCCGACGCUCGACCCCGCCGGCGGGGAGGGCAGGGUCGUCGACAGCUUCGGCGGGAUCACGGCGUACGUCGCCGGCGCCCGAGAGUCCAAGGCCGCUGUCAUCCUCGUCUCCGAUAUCUUCGGGUUUGAAGCACCGAAUCUGAGGAAGAUAACCGAUAAAGUUGCUUCGUCUGGAUAUUUUGUUGUGGUGCCAGAUUUCUUACAUGGGGAUCCAUAUGUACCUGAAAACGCUGACAGGCCGAUACAAGUGUGGUUAAAAGAACAUGCUCCGGGAAAAGCAUUUGAAGAGGCAAAACCUGUUAUUGCUGCUCUAAAAGAACAAGGAGUAUCUACUGUUGGGGCUGCAGGUUAUUGUUGGGGUGCAAAGGGAGUUGCAGAGUUAGCGAAAGCUAAUGAGAUACAGGCAGCUGUUAUGUCACACCCUUCUUUUGUUACUGUUGACGAUAUCGAAGAGGUGAAAUGCCCCAUCGCUAUACUUGGAGCUGAAACUGACAAAACAUCCCCACCAGAAUUGGUCAAGCAGUUCGAGCAGGUUCUAUCCUCUUCUAACUCUGGGAUUGCUCACUUUGUCAAGAUUUUCCCUGGGGUUUCUCAUGGAUGGACUGUGAGAUACAAAAGUGAAGACGCAGGUGCUGUGAAGAGUGCUGAGGAAGCCCUGUCAGACAUGAUCGACUGGUUUAACAAGAACCUAAAGUGAACCUGAAUUAGCGGUCCUUUUUUCUUAAUAGGCCAGUGUCACUCUUCACCAGUCAUCACGCAAUCAUCCAGGGUUUAUGUUAUGGUCUGCAUCGUCGGUCGUCUGCAGGUGUCUGUCCUGUGCAGUAUGUACUGUGUGCUUGCUCAUAUCAGUCUCUGCUUGUGCUGAACACAUUACUAUAAUACUAUAGCACUGAAAUAAAAUGCGAUAUUUGUAGUUUUGAGAGUUGGACCACUUGUCUCGUUGUCUUUAUGUAACUUGUGUGGUGAUUGUUGUUGGCUCUGCCCACUCCAAAGCUGUGGGCCGCUGCCCACUGCCAUCAUCUCCAACACCUCCGGUAAGACGACUGGUCGAGUUAACUGGCCAAUCUCCAACACCUGCAGCGUUCCAGACUCUAGUGCCUAUAAAGUAUGUAUACCGAGAACCAUUUUAUCUUUGCAGCGUUCGAUGUGCCGAAACUGAGAUACACUGUGAAUUUAUCUUCUCGUGAGAGUUACCAUUCUGAAAUGGUUGCAUUUGCAUGUUAUUUCCUUUGCAUCUCCUUCAACAUGGAGCAGUUACUUAAUUUUGUCAAUGGUGUAGCAAUAGCUUAACACUGAUAAAGCCGACGAGUCUGCAUGUAGAAACGGUGACCAUCCUGACAGCCAUACAGCCACGUAGUAGAUGGUGUUGAUGAAACAUAUUUCUUAUGAGAAGGAAAGGGAGCUGGAAUUACAGAAUGGUAAUCUGUGUUUGUAGUCUGUUUGUAGUUUUCAGUUCAGAUUUGGCUCCCCUUGUCUGCUUCAAACCUUCAUAUUUGUUUAACAUAAUAGGACAUUUGCAUUUGCUUGCAUACAUAUCAGCAAAAGAAUGGAAUGCAUAAGUAAAUUUUCAACAUGAUGAAGAAAUGCUGAGCUCAUUAAUCUCAAUGCUGGAAAAUUAGAUCGGCAAUGGUCUAGAACUGUGCUUCUAUGCUCUUUUCUCUUUAUGGAAGUUUAUUUAUCUUAAGCUAGCGCUAUCCUCAUGGGAUUGCCAGUAAUGCUAAAUGUCUAUCUGAUGGAGGAAGAUAGCGGACAAGGUUGCUUUGUCUGGUUACUUUGAUAUAUAGUGCUAGAUUCCCUGCAUGGGGAUUCAUACCAGCUCAACAGUCCUAACAAUCCUGGAAUGUGGGUACAGGCACAUAGUUCAUUUUUUGUUUCUUGAGAUUAUCCUUUUUUAUUUAAGUUUCCUGGGUAACUUUUUUCUGUUUUUUCUGAAGUUUUUUGUGGAAAUCUAUACAGCUUUCAUGUCACAGUCUUCCUAGCCUAACUAAGUACUCUGUUUCAAACAUUGACAUCAGUCAACUCUAUAGAAAUCAUUGAAAAAACUUCUGAUCCAGACCUGAAAAAUGGCAUAAUGAGCAUUUUUUUUACAAUAACUGCAUGAGAUGACAUUCUAAUCUUUCGGUAGUUCAAUAUUUCUGUUCAGUACCUGACAAUAUUAGUAAUAACGCUAUGUACCUUAGGAGCUUCUACACUUGGCAUUUCAGAUACGUAAGCAACUGCUAUUGUGCACCUGAAAGUUAGUUUGUUUUUUAAAGGAAGAAGGUACAUAUACUCUUUAACUUGUACUCGUAUUUACCAAUUCUCUUUGUCUGAUAGCACGCCCUCGUUGACUACUCCAUCACCCAGGUGUGCAAGGGGAGAAAAAGAGGUGCACAAGAGCAGCCUUGGUCUCUCGGACACUUAGCGAAAUCUGGUCCGGGUCAAAACAGUUUUCCUUUUGAUAAUUAUCUGUUGGUGUAUGAUCGACCACUUGAUAAGCAGCAGCAAUUUUUCCUUUUAACAGCAGGUGGAUCUGAAGGCAAAACUAAUUAAGCCCUGUUUUUCUGUUUAUUUUUUUACUUGGGCAUGAGGCAACCAAAUAAGAUCGGUAGAUGACUGUUACGGUUGGUGAAGAUGGCACUCAAAUCUUACCUACCGUUCUACAUCGUCAAGAUUCCCUGCCCCUGCUGUGGCGAACUAGUUGACGGUGGCCGCGACGCCGAGUCCGAUGGCGGCGUGGCAAACUUGUUGCUUGCGACACACGAGAAGGAUGAAGGAUGCUCGAACUGCCCUGGUGCGAAGCUGCAUCUGACCCGAAUGCUGUCUGGUUGUUCCGGCAUUACAUCUUUCUAUUUCCUUCCAUCUUAUAUUAUGGAACGGAGGGAGUACAUAAUUUGCCUUUUGAUGUUAGAGCGGUCCAGUAUACUAUUAUGGUUGUAAUACAUCAGACAUUUUGCAAUUAAGAGCCAUCUAGCCUUCACGGCUUUUACUUUAUGAUCCCCUGGGCAACCUUAGCAUUUUAUAGUCACAAGCUAGUGUUAUUAUCCAUCUUUGCAUCUUGUUUCUUGAAAGUAAGAAGGUAUUCUAUCUAAUAUUCACUAGUGAAGACAACAUGCCAGGGCCUUAACGUUGGGGAAGGAAAGAAACAGCCCCCGCGUCGUCCCCCCGGCGGGCGACUCGAGCGGCGGCGCGGCUUCCCUCCUCCUCUUCCCCUCCCCACCCUCCCCCGCCCUCGCCGCCGCCCGCAGCCGCUGGGGCAAAGCCCCUCGCGGUGGCUGGCGGCGGGGCCCCUUUCUCCGCCGCGCGGGGUUGGCCGGUGCGGGGCGGCUUGGUCUGGUGGUGGCGCCGGGCGUUCGUGGGGCUCGGUGGUGCGGCGGUGGUGGCUCCCGGCGGCGGCGUGCGAGCGGCGGCAUGGUGGGCGACGGUGGCCGCGUGGCGGCUGCGUGCCCGUGGUGGCGGCGGUGGUUCGGAUCUGGCCACGGGCUGCUGCGGGCGGAUCUGGUGGAUCCCUUCUCUACGUGCUCUGGCUCGGCCUCCCUCUCCUCUCGGUCGGGGUCGGAGGUGGGUGGAGCUGGUGGAGGUGGGGGCGUGCCGGCCGGAUCUGACGCGACAUUUUCGAUAGACGGCGCGGGUUGGGGCAGCGGCCGGGCGUGGCUGUAGCUCCGGCCGUGGGCGGCGGCGCGAGGAGGUCCGGGGGUGGUGGCCUCCCGGUGGCGCGGCGGCUACACGGUGGCCGGCGGCUCUAGCCGCGGCGUCGGCUCGUCUGCAGUCAGAUUGCUCACUUUGUCAAGAUCUUCCCUGGGGUUUCUCAUGGAUGGACCGUGAGAUACAAAAGCGAAGACGCAGCUGCUGUGAAGAGCGCCGAGGAAGCCCUGGCGGACAUGGUUGACUGGUUUAACAAGAACCUCAAGUAAACCUAAUGAAUUAGCGGCCAUCCUUUUGUAAUAAGCCAGUGUCACUCUUCAGGAGUCAUCACGCGAGCACCCACGGUUUAUGUUAUGGUCUUAGCUAUAUAGCCUAUAGGGCAUGCAUCUUUGUCUGCCGCAGGUCUGCUGGUAUGUGUGUGAUUGCUCGUAUCGGGGUCUGCUUGUGCUGAACAUUGAACUACUGCACUCAAAUAAAAUGUGGUAUUUGCAGUU